rnacentral:rRNA from 1 species
CCAGACUCCUACGGGAGGCAGCAGUGGGGAAUAUUGCACAAUGGGGGGAACCCUGAUGCAGCGACGCCGCGUGGGUGAAGGAGUAUUUCGGUAUGUAAAGCCCUAUCGGCAGGGAAGAAGCAAGACGGUACCUGACUAAGAAGCCCCGGCUAACUACGUGCCAGCAGCCGCGGUAAUACGUAGGGGGCGAGCGUUAUCCGGAUUCACUGGGUGUAAAGGGAGCGUAGACGGCCAAGCAAGCCAGGGGUGAAAGCCCGGGGCUCAACCCCGGGACUGCAUUUGGAACUGUGCUGCUAGAGUGUCGGAGAGGCAGGCGGAAUUCCUAGUGUAGCGGUGAAAUGCGUAGAUAUCAGGAGGAACACCGGUGGCGAAGGCGGCCUGCUGGACUGCGACUGACGUUGAGGCCCGAAAGCGUGGGGAGCAAACAGGAUUAGAUACCCUGGUAG